UUACGUCACGCGACCACGCCCCUCCGGCGAUAUAAAAUGGCUUCGCUGAUGCCGCUUUGAACCUUACAGCAGUAGAAAGUAGGGACGGAGGUGUUUGCAGCGCUCAGAGGAGGACAACGCCAAAAGAAAAAGGGUAGGGACCACAUCCAGGGGGGCACCGCAGCACAGAGAAGGGGUUGCUAAGCGGGUGGGCUCGAGGGUGUCACAGGCUGAGGAACAGAGAGGAAUAAAAAGCUGUAGGAUUAGAGAGCACACAGUGAAAAUAAGGGGUACAGCUUAGGAUAUAAAAUAGAGGUGCACCAGCUCUCACCCCUCCCCUAGCGCUUACCUUAAACACCCCACGAGUAACUAAGAGGCAGAUGGGUAUCUUGAACAGCAAAGCAGGUGCUCGAGGGUGACACACACAUACCAGGGGCCAGAAACAGGGAAAUAGAGGCUGACUGCUGAGGAACAGGGGGCUUGACAAUGGCACAGAGAGGCUGAGGGAGGGCUAGAGACAAACAGUGAAAAUAAGGGGUACAGGUUGGGAUAUAAGGUAGAGUACAGGUGUACCAGACCCCUAACCCAAACCCUAAAUAGGAGUCCUAACAGCACCCCUGUUUCCCUGAGAGCAGCUGCAAGCAGGAACCCUAAAGCAGCAGAGUGCCAGAACCCCUGAGAGGUGCAGGCAGUACCCCUCAUGCUAGGGCCAGCCAGGCCCUAGGAAGCGAUAAUGGGGGGGACAGAUCCACAGGGUUGGGGAUAACUGCGGCUUUCCCAGCCCACCCUGGGCUCUCUGUCCCUCCUCAGCCAGGGAUUGCUCCCACUCCUCCUCGAGGCCGCAUUUGGUAAGGGCAGGCCACCGCGAAGAGUUCGGCUCUGCAAGCAUCAGUCCACCAGCAGGGCUGAAGCGUGUGGCCCAAGGACCCAGGCAUUCUCAGGAGACACUGACCAAGAGACAACAUCCUGGUGACGGCAGGGACCCACUGGACGGUGAGGCAGCCUUCCCUCAUGCCCCAUGUGGAUUCUCACCCCCGGGCAGCAGACUAAGUCAAAGGCUGCAACCCGCAGAGGGGAUGAAAGCAGGGUGCCGGGUCUGGGACUCAUGGCCAGGGAUUUUUGAGUCAGCUUUGGAGACGGGGCGGUCCCAGCUGUGGCCCCUUAGGCCACGUCAAGGGACUGUGGCACUACUGGGAACGGUGAGAAGCACGACACAGACUCUCUUGUGAGUUGAACAGGAGAGUGAGAUUUAUUACCUCAGAUCUUCUUUUAUAGACUGACACGCAAAAGUACAGAAAGGUAAAAUUCUUAUUGGUCAGUGAACUAAUACAUUGCUAUCAUUGGUUAGUGGGGUACACUGCCCUUUGACUUCCUUUUGUAAGAAAACAAGAAACUGACAAACAGCACCUGCAA